AACGAACGCUGGCGGCAUGCCUUACACAUGCAAGUCGAACGGUAACAGGUUAAGCUGACGAGUGGCGAACGGGUGAGUAAUAUAUCGGAACGUGCCCAGUCGUGGGGGAUAACUGCUCGAAAGAGCAGCUAAUACCGCAUACGACCUGAGGGUGAAAGCGGGGGAUCGCAAGACCUCGCGCGAUUGGAGCGGCCGAUAUCAGAUUAGGUAGUUGGUGGGGUAAAAGCCCACCAAGCCAACGAUCUGUAGCUGGUCUGAGAGGACGACCAGCCACACUGGGACUGAGACACGGCCCAGACUCCUGCGGGAGGCAGCAGUGGGGAAUUUUGGACAAUGGACGCAAGUCUGAUCCAGCCAUGCCGCGUGCGGGAAGAAGGCCUUCGGGUUGUAAACCGCUUUUGUCAGGGAAGAAAAGGUUCUGGCUAAUACCUGGGACUCAUGACGGUACCUGAAGAAUAAGCACCGGCUAACUACGUGCCAGCCGCCGCGGUAACAC
rnacentral:rRNA from 1 species